rnacentral:rRNA from 1 species
CCUACGGGAGGCUGCAGUGGGGAAUAUUGGACAAUGGGCGAAAGCCUGAUCCAGCCAUGCCGCGUGUGUGAAGAAGGCCUUCGGGUUGUAAAGCACUUUCAGUGGGGAAGAAAGCCUUGGGGCUAAUACCCUCGAGGAAGGACAUCACCCACAGAAGAAGCACCCGCUAACUCCGUGCCAGCAGCCGCGGUAAUACGGAGGGUGCGAGCGUUAAUCGGAAUUACUGGGCGUAAAGCGCGCGUAGGCGGUCUGAUAAGCCGGUUGUGAAAGCCCCGGGCUCAACCUGGGAACGGCAUCCGGAACUGUCAGGCUAGAGUGCAGGAGAGGAAGGUAGAAUUCCCGGUGUAGCGGUGAAAUGCGUAGAGAUCGGGAGGAAUACCAGUGGCGAAGGCGGCCUUCUGGACUGACACUGACGCUGAGGUGCGAAAGCGUGGGUAGCAAACAGGAUUAGAUACCCCAGUAGUC